GAUGAACGCUGGCGGCGUGCUUAACACAUGCAAGUCGAACGAUGAAGCCCAGCUUGCUGGGUGGAUUAGUGGCGAACGGGUGAGUAACACGUGAGUAACCUGCCCUUAACUCUGGGAUAAGCCUGGGAAACUGGGUCUAAUACCGGAUAGGAGCGUCCACCGCAUGGUGGGUGUUGGAAAGAUUUAUCGGUUUUGGAUGGACUCGCGGCCUAUCAGCUUGUUGGUGAGGUAAUGGCUCACCAAGGCGACGACGGGUAGCCGGCCUGAGAGGGUGACCGGCAACACUGGGACUGAGACACGGCCCAGACUCCUACGGGAGGCAGCAGUGGGGAAUAUUGCACAAUGGGGGCAAGCCUGAUGCAGCGACGCCGCGUGAGGGAUGACGGCCUUCGGGUUGUAAACCUCUUUCAGUAGGGAAGAAGCGAAAGGGACGGUACCUGGAAAAGAAGCACCGGCUAACUACGUG
rnacentral:rRNA from 1 species